CAGGAUGUAGCUAAGGCAGCAAAGCAUCUCCCUUACACUGAGAAGUCACCCGUGCAAAUCGAGUCAUCCUGA
rnacentral:tRNA from 1 species